UUAACGCUGAGGCGUGACGACGAGGCACUACGGUGCUGAAGUGAUAAAUGCCCAGCUUCCAGGAAAAGCCUCUAAGCAUCAGGUAACACAGAAUCGUACCCCAAACCGACACAGGUGGUCAGGUAGAGAAUACCAAGGCGCUUGAGAGAACUCGGGUGAAGGAACUAGGCAAAAUGGUGCCGUAACUUCGGGAGAAGGCACGCUGGCGCGUAGGUGGAGGGACUUGCUCCCCGAGCCGAAGCCAGUCGAAGAUACCAGCUGGCUGCAACUGUUUAUUAAAAACACAGCACUGUGCAAACACGAAAGUGGACGUAUACGGUGUGACGCCUGCCCGGUGCCGGAAGGUUAAUUGAUGGGGUUAUCCGCAAGGAGAAGCUCUUGAUCGAAGCCCCGGUAAACGGCGGCCGUAACUAUAACGGUCCUAAGGUAGCGAAAUUCCUUGUCGGGUAAGUUCCGACCUGCACGAAUGGCGUAAUGAUGGCCAGGCUGUCUCCACCCGAGACUCAGUGAAAUUGAACUCGCUGUGAAGAUGCAGUGUACCCGCGGCAAGACGGAAAGACCCCGUGAACCUUUACUACAGCUUGACACUGAACAUUGAGCCUUGAUGUGUAGGAUAGGUGGGAGGCUUUGAAGCGCGGACGCCAGUCUGCGUGGAGCCAACCUUGAAAUACCACCCUUUAAUGUUUGAUGUUCUAACGUAGGCCCGUAAUCCGGGCUGCGGACAGUGUCUGGUGGGUAGUUUGACUGGGGCGGUCUCCUCCUAAAGAGUAACGGAGGAGCACGAAGGUCAGCUAAUCACGGUCGGACAUCGUGAGGUUAGUGCAAUGGCAUAAGCUGGCUUGACUGCGAGAGUGACGGCUCGAGCAGGUGCGAAAGCAGGUCAUAGUGAUCCGGUGGUUCUGAAUGGAAGGGCCAUCGCUCAACGGAUAAAAGGUACUCCGGGGAUAACAGGCUGAUACCGCCCAAGAGUUCAUAUCGACGGCGGUGUUUGGCACCUCGAUGUCGGCUCAUCACAUCCUGGGGCUGAAGUAGGUCCCAAGGGUACGGCUGUUCGCCGUUUAAAGUGGUACGCGAGCUGGGUUUAGAACGUCGUGAGACAGUUCGGUCCCUAUCUGCCGUGGGCGCUGGAGAAUUGAGGGGGGUUGCUCCUAGUACGAGAGGACCGGAGUGAACGCACCACUGGUGUUCGGGUUGUCAUGCCAAUGGCAUUGCCCGGUAGCUAAGUGCGGAAAAGAUAAGUGCUGAAAGCAUCUAAGCACGAAACUUGCCCCGAGAUGAGUUCUCCCUGACUCCUUGAGAGUCCUGAAGGGACGUUGAAGACUACGACGUUGAUAGGCCGGGUGUGUAAGCGCAGCGAUGCGUUGAGCUAACCGGUACUAAUGACCCGUGAGGCUUAACCUU
rnacentral:rRNA from 2 species